rnacentral:rRNA from 1 species
UACGGAGGGUGCAAGCGUUAUCCGGAUUCACUGGGUUUAAAGGGUGUGUAGGCGGGCCUAUAAGUCAGUGGUGAAAUCUCCGAGCUUAACUUGGAAACUGCCAUUGAUACUAUUGGUCUUGAAUUCUGUUGAGGUGGGCGGAAUAAGUCAUGUAGCGGUGAAAUGCAUAGAUAUGACUUAGAACACCGAUUGCGAAGGCAGCUCACUAAGCAAGUAUUGACGCUGAGGCACGAAAGCGGGGGGAUCAAACAGG